GGGAGUAUAGCUCAGACGGACAGAGCGCUCGACCGAUAAUCGAGAGGUCGGUGGUUCGAUCCCACCUACUCCCACCA
rnacentral:tRNA from 1 species